rnacentral:rRNA from 1 species
AUGGCGUGGAGCGCCGCCGCCGUCUCCAGAUUCGCCGCCUCCCCGGCCGCCGAGAUCCGCCUGCCCUUCUCAGCAGCAGCCGCCGCCUCCGUCUCAUUCGCCGGGCGCCGCCGCUUCGGCCCCGUCGCCGCGUCCCUCGCCACCUCCGCCACCGUUCAAAAGGAGGCUGUUCAGACGGAGAAGGCGCCAGCAGCACUAGGCCCCUACUCUCAGGCGAUAAAAGCAAACAAUCUUGUGUUUGUCUCGGGCGUUCUUGGCCUAAAUCCUGAGACAGGGAAGUUUGUCUCUGAAAGCGUGGAGGAGCAAACCGAGCAGGUUAUGAAGAACAUGGGUGAAAUAUUGAAAGCAAGUGGUGCUAGCUACUCAUCAGUUGUCAAGACAACAAUCAUGUUAGCGGACCUACAGGAUUUCAAGAACGUGAAUGAGAUUUACGCUAAAUAUUUUCCAGCCCCUGCACCAGCGCGCUCGACCUACCAAGUCGCAGCUCUGCCACUGAACGCCAGGAUUGAGAUCGAAUGCAUUGCUGCCCUCUAG